rnacentral:rRNA from 1 species
CGCGGCCUAUCAGCUUGUUGGUGGGGUAGUGGCUUACCAAGGCUUUGACGGGUAGCCGGCCUGAGAGGGUGACCGGCCACAUUGGGACUGAGAUACGGCCCAGACUCCUACGGGAGGCAGCAGUGGGGAAUAUUGCACAAUGGGCGGAAGCCUGAUGCAGCAACGCCGCGUGCGGGAUGACGGCCUUCGGGUUGUAAACCGCUUUCGCCUGUGACGAAGCGUGAGUGACGGUAAUGGGUAAAGAAGCACCGGCUAACUACGUGCCAGCAGCCGCGGUGAUACGUAGGGUGCGAGCGUUGUCCGGAUUUAUUGGGCGUAAAGGGCUCGUAGGCGGUUGAUCGCGUCGGAAGUGUAAUCUUGGGGCUUAACCCUGAGCGUGCUUUCGAUACGGGUUGACUUGAGGAAGGUAGGGGAGAAUGGAAUUCCUGGUGGAGCGGUGGAAUGCGCAGAUAUCAGGAGGAACACCAGUGGCGAAGGCGGUUCUCUGGGCCUUUCCUGACGCUGAGGAGCGAAAGCGUGGGGAGCGAACAGGCUUAGAUACCCUGGUAGUCCACGCUGCAAACGGUGGGUACUAGGUGUGGGGUCCAUUCCACGGGUUCCGUGCCGUAGCUAACGCUUUAAGUACCCCGCCUGGGGAGUACGG